CAUUUAUAAGUUGCAAAAUCUGAACUUAAUUUCUGCUAAGCUCUAAAUGUCACUCCUCACCAUCGCAUUACGGCUGAAUAGAAGCCAUUCCAAAUUUGUUCACCCACUUCUCCACUCGACAGUCUCCUUUUUCUCUGCGGCAUUUCAUCGAACAGUUUCAGUACCCACUCGAAACCCUUUUCAUUUCUCUACCUCUCAAUCAUUUUCAAACCAAUCCAACAUUUACCCAUUUAAUCUAAUCCAGCACCGAAUCCGUAGCCAUGAUUUUCUCAACCAAGGGAUUCUUGAAACACUCAAACGAGCUGCCUCUUUCCCUUCAGAAGCAGAGGCUAUGGCGUGUAUUGAUGAGUCGGGUGUUAAAGCUGAUGAAAAUUUGGUCUAUGCAGUGAUUUGGGAACUGAGGCACGAGUGGACGUUAGCGUUUUUGGGUUUUAAAUGGGGAGAAAAAUCGAGGUGCAUUGAUGAAAAAGCUUGUGAAUUGAUGGUUUGGAUUUUGGGUAAUCAUGAAAAGUUUAACAUUUCUUGGACUGUUAUUCGGGACAUGCAUCAGUCUUGUCUGAAUAUUAGACAGGCCAUGCUAAUUAUGAUUGACAGAUAUGCAGCAGCAAAUAAACCAGGGAAGGCCAUUCAAGCAUUCAAUUUUAUGGAGAAGUUCAAAUUGGCCCCUGAUGAAGAAGCAUUCUACUCUCUACUGAAUACUCUUUGUAGUCAUGGCUACAUUGAGGAGGCUGAGGAGUUUAUGGUUGUUAGCAAGAAGCUUUUCCCAUUAGAAAUUGAGGGAUUUAACAUUAUUCUACAUGGAUGGUGUAAUAUAUGUGUGGAUUUACUUGAAGCAAAGCGAAUUUGGAGGGAAAUGUCAAGAAGCUGUAUUACACCUAAUGCAACUUCAUAUACUUGCAUGAUUUCCUGCUUCUCCAAGGCUGGGAAUCUUUUUGAUUCACUAAGGCUUUACGACGAAAUGAAGAAACGAGGUUUGGUCCCAGGCGUCGAGAUUUGUAAUUCUUUGAUUUACGUACUAACUCGUGAGAAUUGCCUCGAGGAAGCUCUCAAAUUUCUUGAUAAAAUGAAAGAAGUUGGUUUGCAGCCUGAUUCGACCACUUUCAAUUCAAUGAUAAAACCCUUAUGUGAAAAAAAGAAGCUUGUGGAGGCAAGAAAUGUUUUGGCUGCCAUGAUAGAGGAGAAUAUCAGCCCCACAAUGGAGACCUACCAUGCGUUUCUUGAAGUUGAAGGUACUGGUUUUGAAGCAACUCUGGAAAUCCUUAACCAAAUGCAAAUCGCCGGUGUAGCCCCCAAAGAGGAUACAUUUCUCUUGAUUAUUAAUAAGUUCUUCAAGCUAGAGCAAGCUGACAAUGCACUAAAAAAUUUGUUAGAAAUGAAGCAUUACGAAGUGCAGCCUGAUAUGACACAUUAUACAGUUACGGUAGAAGGACUAGUUAGAUGUGGAUUGUUAACCAAGGCCCGCGAAUGCUAUGCUGAUAUGAGAUCGGAUGGAUUUUCAGAUGAUCCAAAGCUUCAAAGGAUCUUGCAAGAACCAAUACAAGAUCGGAAUAGCAAAGAGAAAGAUCGGGGAGGAGAAGUUUGGAGAGAUCGACGUGUAAAUUACAAGAAAGGAAGAAUUGUCCAAGGAAAAAGUAGAAAAACUACAAGUACAUAGACAGAAAAACUGCAGUUUAAUCUAAACUCCAAUUGAAAAGUGAAAACACAAAAUCUGACGGAUAUUUAUGUUAGAAUGUCAAACUCAGCAUUUUAUAGGUGGCACCAGAGCAACUAGUGGGUGAUAUGAAAUAAGAAGAAAAUGUUUUGGUCAAGAAAUUAAAGUUGCAGAGCACGAACUGGCAUAAUCCGCAUCUGUUUGCUACCGGACCUAUGUAGGGGCAAUCUUGUUAAUUGGAUUGAGUGUAAGUAACAGUAAGUGCAUGCUUACUAAGAGCUUCUUCAACAAGUGUGUGGAACGUGCGGCACCUCUUUCUCGACAACCGGCACUCACGGAAACUGUGGCAUUGGUGUUGGUGCUAUUUUAUUUGGUUGUGGAACAUCAGCAACUACUAUCAAUUGCUCUUCUACUUUGUGGUGGCGGCACUGGUGAUGGUAAUGGUAAUCAGCUUUAAAGCAGGGGUGGUGGCGGUGGGUGAGGCUGGAUCAUGGACGAUGGAGGAGAACAGAGUUCGAGUUAUGUUGUUGAACAAGUAUAAGAAAUGCAAUAACUUUGUAGUAAAAAUACGCUGGACGGGGACAAUGCACGUCCAGACAUUUUCACCUGGCAGAGGUUAAUCACUUUCUAUAUUCUAAACACGUACCUUUAUCAUUUUUAUCUAUAUUCCGUUAAGUUGAGUGGUUUUCGGGCAACAUUUGCCUGGUUCCUUUCGACAUUAUUGUUUGUGCAGGUACUCGUUUUAGGGCAUGUGCAGAAAUAGAGUUAACUUUUAUCAGUUUUUCACCAUGAAAGUUCACAGGGAGUAAGAUGCAAUUCUUACUCGUGAGGAAGGAGAUACCAAUGACCCAACCCAGAAAACACCUACAAGAUUCAACCGACGAUCCAAUUCCGGAUUCACCUGAAGAAAACAUAAAUGUACAGAAUUUGUACAAAUCCUUCUCUGAGUUCACUACUACAAUACUACUAUUUUAC